CUUGUACAAUGCUCAGGACAGGCUGACAGUCAAUUAUCAGCAUCUUUCUCUCCGCAGAGCUCCUUUUUUGUAUCUACAUCCUCAAUUCCAAUUCCGGACUUGAAAGGGAGACCAUUUUUCCAGACAGUGAUUUCCUCCAAUAUCUCGUCUCCCCGUGUCUGUGUGUGUUUUUAACAGGCAGACCCAUGGGGUUACAGUCUUGCAAGCCUUGCAACUCCUGCCUGCAAAGUAAGGAGGAAUGCAGACCGGCUGGUGGCUGCUCGUGUGUGUGUGACGACUGGAGAUAUUGCUCUGAACACUGCUGUGACAUCUGCUGCCAGAUGUGUGUGGACGUGUUCUCUGGCUUGUGUUCAGGAGACUGCAGCUACACCUUCUGUACCCUCUGCCUCAGCCUGGCACAGAACUGUGUCUCAUUUUUUACCACCCAACAAACUGAAACAUCACAGGCACAGUAGGCUAUGAUGGUCCCAAACCGGCGUACCAAGUGAGCAUGAGACACACGUGACAAAACCCUAAAGAUGCACUGAUGUAAAGACACCAGCGGCUAUGGAGCCGAGCUAUCUGCUGCUGUCUAAUGAGGACGGAGAUGAGAAGCACUCAGACUUUGACAACGGGUGUGAAAGGAGCUUGUCUGCAGAGCGGCAGUGUGUGCGUGCACAUGUGGAUUUAACAAUAAUCUCAAGCUUAUCGCCGCUAUCGUGGCUGAGCAAAAGCUCUGUGAACAAAACAAGCCAUCCUGGGUGACGACAGGGACUGCACCCUACUUAACCCUCGUGUCGCCACCUUUCCAGCCCAAUGGUGCACCCUAUUUCAUGUGGAUGGAUUUCUUCCCUGUGUAUCCGGAUGUUUGUUUACAAGAUGGACAGCUACUUUAUUUGUGUUUUCCAGUACAGGACUCUUAAAGAGACAAACAGGAUUCCCGAACAUCAACCAGCGAAAGCAUUGCACUUUGCACAUCUGGAAGAUUAAACUCAAGUGUAGAAAUGGCCUCAUCCCGGCAUACAAGCAGUACUUCAAAGCACUCGUUAGAUGUCUGCAAGAUUGUUUUGCACUUUGAGGCAAACAAAAAUAUAAUUUGGUUGCGUGCACAGUGUACAAUCUGAUAUCUCUUUGUGAGAUAAGGGUGCCCGAGGACACAAGGUGCUAUUUGCUUCCACUGAAUUAGACCUUUUUUAUUAUCCUCCAUAAAAUUGCAAGUUUAUGGAAAUUUUAAUGAUUGAGUGAGCCAUGUCCCCGCAUCAAAAGGCGCUUGGAAUGAGGUCUUACAAGGAAAAUCUAACAACACGGAGAGUGUGAUGGGCUGCAUUGUGCUCCCUGACUGUACCCAUCUCUGCUACUGUUUUCUCCUCCUCUCAAUCCCUCUGGACUCUGCGGAGCAUUCAGUCUGUCUCAAAUUCGAAUCCCUUUCAAACUCAGAGGAUACGCGUGGCCUAGUUCACUCCUUUAACUGACCUCAUCCUCCCAGAAGUUUGUGUCUAUAUUUACUGUAUCUGCAGUAAAUCCUGGAGUGCAAAACUAUUUGAAUAAAUUUCACACACCCCAAUUGAGUGACUGAGUGUGGUUUCACUGUAUAGAUUUUUCAGCUUAUUUGCUUGAAAUAUAAAAGAGUAGAGGAUUGAAACUGUGAAGUCUAAUCUCAGAGGUUCAGGAGGAUCUCUGAUGUGAAUUGAAAUACUGUCUACAAGUGUUGCAAUAAGAUGAGUAAAGAUCAGGUAUAAUCGAAUGACUGCACUAUGAGUCAACAUUGCUCCUGAACUGCUGGGUAUGUGUACCUUUUUCCCUUCUGGGGAUAAGAAAAGCACUCUUUGUAUUUAUUACUCAAUACACACCAUGGUGU